ACGCUAAGAUCAGUUUACCCAUAAAUGAGUAGUUGAUUCACCCAUAUUUGGGUUUUAUAUGCAUUACUCAUAUUAUGGGUAAAAUGUACUGAGAAAAAACGGUAAACGAUACCCACAUUGUUGGUUAAGUGAGUUUACUCAAAUAUGGGUAAUCAUGAUUUACCCAUAUUUGGAUGAAAAUUGGCAGUCGCGAUCACUUUUGUGGAAGCAGCAGUGAGCAAAACCACGACUGGGAGGAGGAAUUCGGCCAUAAUCAUCGGGAUGUACGAGACAAGCUGGUGGAAAUUACACGGAAUAGCUGUGACGCCCAGUUGAGAUUGCUGAAACGCAAGUGAAAGCUGCCGCCGCCCGGCAAUGAUUUAGAAAAAAGCGUUCCGGUGGGGAUUAUCCGAGAGAUAUGGUUUUCAUUGGCCAAGUGGACAUCCGUCGUCAGGACUCCUGAGGCGCACAGUACGCAAUAGAAUGUUUUCCGUGCCCAGUGCGAUCAAGAGUACGAUGCCACCAUUGCCGACGUUCAGCCGGAAUCGAUCCCUUCGAUUGCUACGAAGUGCACCAGCCGGUCUGUCGUCGCCAAGGCAUCUCCCCCGUUGACUCCGAUUCCACGGUACGAUGGGAUUCCGCCGCAGUGGGGUAUAUGGUGGGAUCUCCACCACCACCCCGAGCACCACCUCAUCCGAUGCACUAGGAUUGACCACAGCUGUCGUAAACUAGGUCGUUAACGAUGCGAGCGGGAGCGCAAUUUUAUCAUUUUUUUUCUACUUUCUGUUUUAAUAUGUAUUAGUUUGUUUAAGAUUAGAAUAAAGCUUCUUGUUUCUUUUUUAUUU